rnacentral:lncRNA from 1 species
CUGCUAUGAUGAAUGAAAUUAACACCCAGAAUCAACGUUGAUACUGAGAUUUAUUUUACUCCCUCUUACCGUGCUAAGAAUUUAAGAUUUCCCUACUCAUUUUGUUCUCUUGCUUGUCCUACAUACCAGAACUUCUUGUUCAUCAACGAACAGUGCAAACCCAGUGUUCUAUCCCGUCUAAUAAACAAAGCAUUGCUCAAAAGAGGGUAGCCCCAUUCCAACUUUAACUUGGUAUACUCUUUAGUGAGUAACCUAUGAUCCAUCAAAAGUUAUAAGAAUAUCUCCACUUAGAAUUUCUCUCCUAAUUGCAUCUAUAUUUUUCUUCAAAAAUAUUAGGGAGUAACUAGUAUGAUGCUCUACUAGUUACUCCGUGAGCACCAUAAAAUUUCUCAUUCAACAGAGUCUACAAGUGAGACAACUAACCUGCAAAGAAUUUAUUAAAGGAAAGGACCAAUAAGUGAAAAUAAAUUAAAUCUACAAAAUACAAAUGUUAUCCGCAUCUCAUCUACACAAAUUAAGUGUUCACAAUUUAGCUUGAUACAUGCCAUUUUGAUUCUUUGCAAGUGGGAGCAAUCCAGUAUUUUAUAGACUCCAGAACUAUAGCCAACCUGUUCUACUAAGGAGAUCUUAAGAGCCUGGCGAGUGAUUUUUAGGAUUUUCAGCUAGAAACAUACUAAACAAUUUGGGCUCACCAAUCUUGAUUUUUAGGAUUUUCACCAAUAAAGGAUUAUUUAAUGAUUAUCCUAAUCUAGAAAGGAAACUAAUAAGACAGCAACAAAGAACGAGAUUUUAUAUUUAUUAUCGUCCAAGUAUUACAAGGAAACCUAGCUCUACAAGAAAAAAGCAAGAGGCGACAGAAUUAAUUCUAUUUUCAGAUUAGAUUUUCCUAGUCUAUUUAGGACAUCUAGAGGCAGCAACCCUUCCUAGAGAUACAAGGAAGGUUCAUUUUGACUAUAACACCUUUUAAGCUAGGAAAAUCAGACCUGUCACUUUUAUUUCUCUUUGGUUAUUUGCAGCAGCAUAGAGAACUUUUAUUUUAAUUUUAAUUUUAAAAUGUUUUGGGUUUAUUUCAAUUAAAUUUUGGGUCUGCUUGUAAGUGGACUUCACAUCAGCCCACAUCCUGGGUAUUCUAGGGUUCAACUUAGGUUAUUACUCAUAUAAAAACUCAAUUGUAACCGAAGUUUCAUUUAUAUGUUUUCUUUGAAUAAUAAUUCAGAAUUGCCGCACCUUUGUCUUGUCUGUACGAGGGUGAGAACUUUUUAUUUCUUGGUUCCUUAAACAACUAAAAUUGACUUAUUGAAGAACAAUUGUCUUCGUGAUGUCUUCCUUAUACUUCUUGUUAGCGAAUUAGUAUUUGUACGGUGGGGAUUCUUAUUCCAAUAGUUUUGGUGUCUUGAAACAUGUUUUCAUUGUGUCACACUUCUAUCAAACAUGUUUCACCUUUCUAGGAUUUGUUAUAAAUCUUAUUGUGAGUUCCAUGACCAUAUGAUCAUGAGGUUCACAUCAUCAUUUCUAGCAAUUGAUAGUGAUAGUUGAGAACACAAACAAUAUGAGCAACCAUCUAUAGACUAAAUCCAGCUCCCUCUAUUUCUAGGAUUCAUAAGCUAGUUAAUAGAAAGAAGUCCCCACCAAAGGUAUGCUGAACACGGGAAACUUAUCUUCAUCGAAGCUACUAUUAGUAACAUUUGGUGAAACAGCUGAAAAAUUCAUGCCUUUAUUAUAGCACAGUACAAGAAUCUAUAUUGUAUACAGAUGAAACCUAACGCAUAAAUCUAUAACAUUUAAGACCAGCACUGUUAAUCAAACAAAAGUGAACCUUAUGGUCAAACAGAAAAGGCGUCCAAUUAAAGCAGACAGAAACAGCACCUGAUUAAAGCACGCAUAGAUGGGACAUAAUUUGAUAUCUUUUUUCCAAGGCCAUACCUGGCAAACUAUUUCUGUAGGAGGGGUGGGGGAGAUUUACAAAAACAAACACUCCGCCGGCAGCUUAUUGGAUACUUCUAAUGCACCAAAGUUAACUAAGUUUAGCAUAACACAUGAUUAAUGCACAAUAACUUGUGAUUAACAGUGCAACAAAAGGGUAAACGACCACAUACUCUUGAGAAAUAUAGAAUAAGGCUUGCUGGAUCUUAGUUCGAUAGGUUGAGAUAUAAUUUACAGUCUUAUGGUCCAAAGCCCCAUCAAAUAGGCCUGGUACCAUUACCAAAAAAUAUAGACAGCUGUAGAUAUGUUGUUAAACCAUAAAAAAGAAAACACAUAACAAUAUAUUCGAAAAAUAUUUCCUUUUUCACUCUAUCGUAUAUUCAAGACAGUUUCAACCUGAGACAAACAGGUGAGGAAUCAUUCUAUCAGGGUAUUUAAAAAAACACACGCAAGGAACAAGAUAUAAGAGAGAGAAGGACUGAUACCGACAUCAGCAAAAGCAGCAUCCAAGUAUGAAACAUUGAUUUCUACAGAAACUCCAGUUACUGGAGCUCCAACUGUGAAUAUUGCAGCAGAUCCUACCAAGUCGACCAACGUGGCUGUAGCCCCACCGUGCAAGAAAUUGCCACCAUUCUUAGAAAUAAGCAAUCAAACAAAACACCAAAUAAUCAGUAACACCAUUUAAGACGUACAUUAUUAAAGCAUUCUUUAGCUUAUGUUUUGGAAGGAAAUUCCCUUACUUUUUUCUGAUAUUAGCUAAUCACUUCCAAAGAGAAUCCUAAUUGAAUGAAAACAACCAACAAAAGACUUGAACUUUCUCUUGUUUUCAUGACUAAUCUCAGCAGCCAAACUAAAAGGAGAGUAAUUCACCAAGCAUGGGCAUACAGUAUUCAUCUAUGAUGGUUAUCCCAAGAGCCCAAAUGGAUCAUCUUUAAAUCCUUGAUUAUGUAUUUGAAUCAGAAAACAACAUAAAAACAGAGAGAUUUGGGGUUUGAAGUGAUUACCAGAAGACGAGGAGGGACUUUCAUGGAGCAAACAACACGCCCAGGUUCAAUGAGAUCAAUAUGAAGGCCUUGCAUUAUAAAUCUUUCAAAGAAUCUGAGAGGCAUUUUUUCAAUGGUUGAUUCAUUCUUGUCUUCUUCAUAUCCUCCUGUCUCUAAGUAUCUCUUCACUGAUUCCAAAUCCAUUUUUCUUUCUUCCCUUUCCGACUCGUCUCAGACAAAGGAAUGUUUGUUGAAAGAGUGAUGGGCAAAGACGCAAAGUAAUUCUAAAUUUUAAUUCUCUCAUAAAAAAAAGAGUUCGACUCUUUCUGUAAAACAAUCAAUUUUAAUACCUUUUAUUGUCAAUUAAACUGUUAGCACCAAUACUUAUCUUCCCAAUCCUACAUAAAUACUAAAGAAACAUAAUUAAUUGCUUCACUUUUUUCUAUUUGAUCAUGAAUUAAUUUUUUAUUUAUUUUUUCCUUAUAAAAGAAAGAGACGGAAUAUAUGGGGGAAUAAACGAAAUCUAUAGGGGUAUUAUCUUAUCUUUUAUUUAAACCUUGAACGAUCACAAUCAAGUUAUUAUAAUCACAAGUGAACUUAUAAAAUCUCAUAAAAUCUUAUAAUUUUAUAAGUUAAUAUAUAUUUAAUAUGCUAAAUCAGACUAAAAACUUGAAACUAGUAAAAUCAAACUCAACUCAUGCAAAAUCGAUAAAAUCGGUAAACUCAGUCCUAUUUUUUGAGUUUAUUAAAUUUAUGAUAUGAACCAAGUCAUGUCCAAAUUUGACUUUAAAAUGUCUGCUGACUAGUUUUACGAGAUUAAACAUAUCUUUUAAACUGUAUAUUGGAUAAAGCUGAAAUUUUAUAGAAAAAUAUUAGAUACAUGAAAAUAUAUUAUUAUAAAUUUUUAGGUCAAAUGGAGUUAGGAAAUAUAAUAUUUCAGAGAGUCAAAGUUAGUAAACUAACAUUGUGAAAUAUGUCAAACAAGACAUUUGUGUAAUGUUUGGGACAUAUCUACAGCUACCAUUGGAAUUUUGCAUCGAUUAAAGUUGGGAUAGAAACUAGACAUCUGAAACUUUUCAACUAUAUACCGUAGGGUCAAUAAUUCAUCUAAACAAGAGAAAAUGACAUGUUUAAAAUUAGAACUUAAAUCUGUCAAGAAUAUAUAAAGAUUAGAGAUUCAGGCAAAAUAGAGGAAUUUUAACAUGGAGAAUUUUUUUAUUAUUCUAUUUUAUUUAUUUAGUUAAUUUUAAAUAAUUAUUUUUAAUUUAAUUUUUUCUAGUACAUUAGAUAUUGUUUAGGGGUUUAUUUCAUUAUUGAAUUUAUGUUAAUUAAUUACUAAUUUAAACUCAUUAGCUUGCAACCUAAAAGGAGUCUAUAAAGACUUAUUAUGAUGGGAAUAACCAGGUUGUCACUAGAUUUAUGUGUACUUUCUAUCUCUCAAUGAUUCCCUGGUAUUGAGAAAUUUUGUCUUGAGACUUUUUAUUUCUCGAUGUCAUUACUUUAUUAAUUCAUACUAUAUAUCUCUUUCAUUUUAUUUAUAUCACUCAUUGAUUAUAAUAUUGUUGAUUAAUUUUAUCAAAUUUUAAUGUAAAUUAAUUUUCUGGCUAGAAUUAUCAAUAUAUGAUUAGUUAAAAACGCUUACUUAUGAUUUUAUGAUUUUACGAUUUGAGUUUACAAUUCGAGAUUAUAUUAUAUUUUUCGUCUCGUGUCAAAAAAAUAAUUUUAAUAACCUUGAUCAUAAUUCAAUAACAACAGCUUUAAAAUAUUGAUCUAGUGGUUAAAGUAGUUUGUUCCUUUUUAGGAUAUAAAUUAUUAUUUUUUAAUUAAAUUCUUUUAAAUGUAUCAUGCUAAUAUGAGAUAUAUGACGGGCAAGGUAAAAGGAAAAAACUUAUAUUCAUGAAUAAAGUUGAGUUUUCUAGGCCUAAACAUUUUUAAAAAAUCAUUCUAAUAUGAAUAUUCCUUUUUAACUUGGGUUUUUCCCUUUUUUUUUUUUUGUAUUUUUAGGAUUCCAAAAUUAUAUUGUUUGGCAUAAAUGUUUUUUUAAUUAAUGGAAAAUACCAAAUACAUGGUAAUGGAAAAGUAAAAAUUAUAUUAUUGAUGACCCAAUUAACAAUAAAUAAAUAGACUCAACUAGGUGAGUUUGUUCAUGGUGAUUUUUUUUAUUGUAAUUAAUUUUAUAUAAUGUAAGCAAAUUUCAAUUAAUUUGUUUUUAUUUCUUUCCUGUUAAUCAUAUACCUUUUCUUUUAUCAAGUUAGUAAUUUAUUUUUUCUUUUUAAAAUCUUUGUGUAGCCAUAUGUGCUUUUAACAUAGUUUGUUAACUAUUCUCGAGGCUCAAGGGAAAAGACACACUAAGUGGAAUAAAAUUCCGUUUUCUCUUUCAUAAAAACAACUCAGACUCAUUCCAGUCAUGAUCCCACUUCUCAAUAUCUGAAUCUGCCUUUUUUUUUUUUGCCGUAAAAUGAACCUGAACAAGUCUUUUCUCAGAUUUACAUGUUAAAUUGAGGCAGUUUGCGAAGAUAAUUUCUAUUAAAUUUUGGCACCCUUCCAGUAAGAUAAAUGAUAAAUGCCUCUAAAGCUGGAGGAAAUUCUGAGACUAGUAGCCGAUUUACGCAUUUGGUAACUUCCAAAGUCUUAAGCUUAGGAAGGCUGUCAAUUCCAGGAGGUAGAUUGAUAAAUCCAAUCUAUCGAGAGAUGACAAGCUGCCAAGAUGUAUGGAAACUGUAAGUUCAGACAAUAUGCAGCAACAAAGAUCUUAUCCGGCAUUCUAAGCAUCACUGUAAUGAUCGUCGCAACAUAUAAUUGCAAAUAUUUAUCAGUUACAUUAUUGGUUCCAGUGAAGAAAUACGAAGAAGCUAAGAAUUUGCAGGUCAUUUACAUUUUACUAGAGACAGCUAGGUACUUAGUAUGACGCCCUUGAGCAAUAAUUUUCCCAGUCUUUCUCUUCUUCAACUCGACACUGACAACUCCAACAGCUUUACCCACACGAAGAACCCUAGCUUCAAUCUCGAUUUCUUCCUGGAAGAACAGAAAUAGAAAACUUCAAAUGAAUAAUAAGUCACAAUUCGUUGUGCUCAAGUUAUUUUACAAGUACAGAGGCACAUCAUGACAUGCAUACACUAAUCCAUUGACUACACAGCUGCUAUGAUGAGUGAAAUUAACACCCAGAAUCAACGUUGAUACUGAGAUUUAUUUUACUCCCUCUUACCGUGCUAAGAAUUUAAGAUUUCCCUACUCAUUUUGUUCUCUUGCUUGUCCUACAUACCAGAACUUCUUGUUCAUCAACGAACAGUGCAAACCCAGUAUCUAUCCCAUCUAAUAAACAAAGCAUUGCUCAAAAGAGGGUAGCCCCAUUCCAACUUUAACUUGGUAUACUCUUUAGUGAGUCGAUCGCACAAAGGCUAAAAUAGAGAGAAGUUCAGCAGGGAAAAUUUUAUGGUGAUCGGGAAAUACCUAGUAGUAUCCUAUUAG